rnacentral:rRNA from 1 species
CCUACGGGUGGCAGCAGUGGGGAAUAUUGCACAAUGGGGGAAACCCUGAUGCAGCGACGCCGCGUGAGUGAAGAAGUAUUUCGGUACGUAAAGCUCUAUCAGCAGGGAAGAAAAAAAGUCCUUUGGACUUUGGACGGUACCUGACCAAGAAGCCACGGCUAACUACGUGCCAGCAGCAGCGGUAAUCCGUAGGGGGCAAGCGUUAUCCGGAUUUACUGGGUGUAAAGGGAGCGUAGACGGCAGCGCAAGUCUGGAGUGAAAUGCCGGGGCCCAACCCCGGAACUGCUUUGGAAAAGGGGCAGCUGGAGUGCAGGGGAGGUAAGCGGAAUUCCUAGUGUAGCGGUGAAAUGCGUAGAUAUUAGGAGGAACACCAGUGGCGAGGGCGGCUUACUGGACUGUAACUGACGUUGAGGCUCGAAAGCGUGGGGAGCAAACAGGAUUAGAUACCCCGUAGUC